rnacentral:rRNA from 1 species
GGGGAAUCUUCCGCAAUGGACGAAAGUCUGACGGAGCAACGCCGCGUGAACGAUGACGGCCUUCGGGUUGUAAAGUUCUGUUAUACGGGACGAAGGGUACGACGGUCAAUACCCGUCGUAAGUGACGGUACCGUAAGAGAAAGCCACGGCUAACUACGUGCCAGCAGCCGCGGUAAUACGUAGGUGGCAAGCGUUGUACGGAAUUAUUGGGCGUAAAGCGCGCGCAGGCGUCUUCUUAAGUCCAUCUUAAAAGUGCGGGGCUUAACCCCGUGAUGGGAUGGAAACUGGGAGGCUGGAGUAUCGGAGAGGAAAGCGGAAUUCCUAGUGUAGCGGUGAAAUGCGUAGAUAUUAGGAGGAACACCAGUGGCGAGAGCGGCUUUCUUGACGACAACUGACGCUGAGGCGCGAAAGCCAGGGGAGCAAACG